ACUUGAAUAAGAUAACUUCUGAGAAUAAAUCUAUGCACUAUUUUGGAAGAAUUGCUCUAUAGAGUAAAAAAUAAUUCUGGAUAAUUGAAAGUUAUCUUGUGAGUAUCUGGACAUUAAGGAUACAUUUCAAGACUCCUGUUUUCACUAAAAUCCAAUAUUUGUUUAAGCACUUCAAGUUAAAGAGGAGCACCUUCCCCUUUCACCCUGACUAUCGUUGUUAAUUCGUUUUUGAAGCUAUAUAAGAACGUUUCUUUAAUCGGUUUUCCCUUAGGCAUACAUUAGCUCUCUGUUCAAGACUUAGUAGCAGAGAGUAGUAAGUAAAUGGUUAUUAGUGGUUCUUCAUAUAAAACACAUUUGAGUUUCUUAGAAGAAAACUAUGCAUAAAGAUUACUUUCAGAUAUCAUGUCUGUAGUUCGUUAAUAGAGAAGUUUCUCUGAACGUGUGGAACACUGUAAUAAGAUAAAUAAAUUUUUAAAAAGAAAAAGUAAGCAUAUAUACAAAA
rnacentral:lncRNA from 10 species